rnacentral:rRNA from 1 species
UAGUCGCUCGGUAGCGCAGAGAGCUUGCUUUCAUAUGACGAGUGGCGGACGGGUGAGUAAUGUCUGGGAAACUGCCUGAUGGAGGGGGAUAACUACUGGAAACGGUAGCUAAUACCGCAUAACGUCGCAAGACCAAAGAGGGGGACCUUCGGGCCUCUUGCCAUCAGAUGUGCCCAGAUGGAAUUAGCUAGUAGGUGGGGUAACGGCUCACCUAGGCGACGAUCCCUAGCUGGUCUGAGAGGAUGACCAGCCACACUGGAACUGAGACACGGUCCAGACUCCUACGGGAGGCAGCAGUGGGGAAUAUUGCACAAUGGGCGCAAGCCUGAUGCAGCCAUGCCGCGUGUAUGAAGAAGGCCUUCGGGUUGUAAAGUACUUUCAGCGGGGAGGAAGGUGUUGUGGUUAAUAACCACAGCAAUUGACGUUACCCGCAGAAGAAGCACCGGCUAACUCCGUGCCAGCAGCCGCGGUAAUACGGAGGGUGCAAGCGUUAAUCGGAAUUACUGGGCGUAAAGCGCACGCAGGCGGUCUGUCAAGUCGGAUGUGAAAUCCCCGGGCUCAACCUGGGAACUGCAUUCGAAACUGGCAGGCUAGAGUCUUGUAGAGGGGGGUAGAAUUCCAGGUGUAGCGGUGAGAUGCGUAGAGAUCUGGAGGAAUACCGGUGGCGAAGGCGGCCCCCUGGACAAAGACUGACGCUCACGUGCGAAAGCGUGGGGAGCAAACAGGAUUAUAUACCCUGGUAGUCCACGCCGUAAACGAUGUCUAUUUGGAGGUUGUGCCCUUGAGGCGUGUCUUCCGGAGCUAACGCGUUAAAUCGACCGCCUGGGGAGUACGGCGCAAGGUUAAAACUCUAUGAAUUG